GGGUUGUGAGGUUAAGUGACUAAGCGUACACGGUGGAUGCCCUGGCAGUCAGAGGCGAUGAAGGACGUGCUAAUCUGCGAAAAGCGUCGGUAAGGUGAUAUGAACCGUUAUAACCGGCGAUGUCCGAAUGGGGAAACCCAGUGCAAUUCGUUGCACUAUCGUUAACUGAAUACAUAGGUUAACGAGGCGAACCGGGGGAACUGAAACAUCUAAGUACCCCGAGGAAAAGAAAUCAACCGAGAUUCCCCCAGUAGCGGCGAGCGAACGGGGAGCAGCCCAGAGUCUGAAUCAGCUUGUGUGUUAGUGGAACGGUCUGGAAAGUCCGACGGUACAGGGUGAUAGUCCCGUACACCAAAAUGCACAGGCUGUGAACUCGAAGAGUAGGGCGGGACACGUGGUAUCCUGUCUGAAUAUGGGGGGACCAUCCUCCAAGGCUAAAUACUCCUGACUGACCGAUAGUGAACCAGUACCGUGAGGGAAAGGCGAAAAGAACCCCGGCGAGGGGAGUGAAAAAGAACCUGAAACCGUGUACGUACAAGCAGUGGGAGCACCUUCGGGUGUGACUGCGUACCUUUUGUAUAAUGGGUCAGCGACUUAUAUUCUGUAGCAAGGUUAACCGUAUAGGGGAGCCGCAGGGAAACCGAGUCUUAACUGGGCGUUAAGUUGCAGGGUAUAGACCCGAAACCCGGUGAUCUAGCCAUGGGCAGGUUGAAGGUUGGGUAACACUAACUGGAGGACCGAACCGACUAAUGUUGAAAAAUUAGCGGAUGACUUGUGGCUGGGGGUGAAAGGCCAAUCAAACCGGGAGAUAGCUGGUUCUCCCCGAAAGCUAUUUAGGUAGCGCCUCGUGAACUCAUCUUCGGGGGUAGAGCACUGUUUCGGCUAGGGGGUCAUCCCGACUUACCAACCCGAUGCAAACUACGAAUACCGAAGAAUGUUAUCACGGGAGACACACGGCGGGUGCUAACGUCCGUCGUGAAGAGGGAAACAACCCAGACCGCCAGCUAAGGUCCCAAAGUCAUGGUUAAGUGGGAAACGAUGUGGGAAGGCACAGACAGCCAGGAUGUUGGCUUAGAAGCAGCCAUCAUUUAAAGAAAGCGUAAUAGCUCACUGGUCGAGUCGGCCUGCGCGGAAGAUGUAACGGGGCUAAACCAUGCACCGAAGCUGCGGCAGCGACACUAUGUGUUGUUGGGUAGGGGAGCGUUCUGUAAGCCUGCGAAGGUGUGCUGUGAGGCAUGCUGGAGGUAUCAGAAGUGCGAAUGCUGACAUAAGUAACGAUAAAGCGGGUGAAAAGCCCGCUCGCCGGAAGACCAAGGGUUCCUGUCCAACGUUAAUCGGGGCAGGGUGAGUCGACCCCUAAGGCGAGGCCGAAAGGCGUAGUCGAUGGGAAACAGGUUAAUAUUCCUGUACUUGGUGUUACUGCGAAGGGGGGACGGAGAAGGCUAUGUUAGCCGGGCGACGGUUGUCCCGGUUUAAGCAUGUAGGCUGGUUGUCCAGGCAAAUCCGGAUAAUCAAGGCUGAGGUGUGAUGACGAGGCACUACGGUGCUGAAGUAACAAAUGCCCUGCUUCCAGGAAAAGCCUCUAAGCAUCAGGUAACAUUAAAUCGUACCCCAAACCGACACAGGUGGUCAGGUAGAGAAUACCAAGGCGCUUGAGAGAACUCGGGUGAAGGAACUAGGCAAAAUGGUGCCGUAACUUCGGGAGAAGGCACGCUGGUGUGUAGGUGAAGUCCCUGCGGAUGGAGCUGAGACCAGUCGAAGAUACCAGCUGGCUGCAACUGUUUAUUAAAAACACAGCACUGUGCAAACACGAAAGUGGACGUAUACGGUGUGACGCCUGCCCGGUGCCGGAAGGUUAAUUGAUGGGGUUAUCCGUAAGGAGAAGCUCUUGAUCGAAGCCCCGGUAAACGGCGGCCGUAACUAUAACGGUCCUAAGGUAGCGAAAUUCCUUGUCGGGUAAGUUCCGACCUGCACGAAUGGCGUAAUGAUGGCCAGGCUGUCUCCACCCGAGACUCAGUGAAAUUGAACUCGCUGUGAAGAUGCAGUGUACCCGCGGCAAGACGGAAAGACCCCGUGAACCUUUACUAUAGCUUGACACUGAACAUUGAGCCUUGAUGUGUAGGAUAGGUGGGAGGCUUUGAAGCGUGGACGCCAGUCUGCGUGGAGCCAACCUUGAAAUACCACCCUUUAAUGUUUGAUGUUCUAACGUUGGCCCCUGACCGGGGUUGCGGACAGUGUCUGGUGGGUAGUUUGACUGGGGCGGUCUCCUCCCAAAGCGUAACGGAGGAGCACGAAGGUUAGCUAAUCCUGGUCGGACAUCAGGAGGUUAGUGCAAUGGCAUAAGCUAGCUUGACUGCGAGCGUGACGGCGCGAGCAGGUGCGAAAGCAGGUCAUAGUGAUCCGGUGGUUCUGAAUGGAAGGGCCAUCGCUCAACGGAUAAAAGGUACUCCGGGGAUAACAGGCUGAUACCGCCCAAGAGUUCAUAUCGACGGCGGUGUUUGGCACCUCGAUGUCGGCUCAUCACAUCCUGGGGCUGAAGUAGGUCCCAAGGGUAUGGCUGUUCGCCAUUUAAAGUGGUACGCGAGCUGGGUUUAGAACGUCGUGAGACAGUUCGGUCCCUAUCUGCCGUGGGCGCUGGAGAAUUGAGGGGGGCUGCUCCUAGUACGAGAGGACCGGAGUGGACGCAUCACUGGUGUUCGGGUUGUCAUGCCAAUGGCACUGCCCGGUAGCUAAAUGCGGAAGAGAUAAGUGCUGAAAGCAUCUAAGCACGAAACUUGCCCCGAGAUGAGUUCUCCCUGAGACUUUAAGUCUCCUGAAGGAACGUUGAAGACGACGACGUUGAUAGGCCGGGUGUGUAAGCGCAGCGAUGCGUUGAGCUAACCGGUACUAAUGAACCGUGAGGCUUAACCUUACAACGCCGAAG
rnacentral:rRNA from 1 species